UACGUAGGAUGCAAGCGUUGUCCGGAAUUAUUGGGCGUAAAGAGUUCGUAGGCGGUUGCCUAAGUCUGUUGUUAAAGGCCUGAGCUCAACUCGGGUAUGGCAAUGGAUACUGGGCGGCUAGAGUGUGGUAGAGGUCACGGGAAUUCCAGGUGUAGCGGUGAAAUGCGUAGAUAUAGGAAGGAACACCAGUGGCGAAGGCGACCACCUGGACUGAUACUGACACUGAGGUGCGAAAGCGUGGGGAGCAAACAGG
rnacentral:rRNA from 1 species